rnacentral:rRNA from 1 species
UACGUAGGGGGCAAGCGUUGUCCGGAAUCAUUGGGCGUAAAGCGCGCGUAGGCGGUCAGGUAAGUCCGGUGUGAAAGUCAAAGGCUCAACCUUUGAAUGCCGCUGGAUACUGCCUGACUUGAGUCCGGAAGGGGCGAGUGGAAUUCCUGGUGUAGCGGUGAAAUGCGCAGAUAUCAGGAGGAACACCGAUGGCGAAGGCAGGUCUCUGGGCCACUACUGACGCUGAGAAGCGAAAGCAUGGGGAGCGAACAGG